rnacentral:rRNA from 1 species
CACGUAGGGGGGCGAGCGUUGUCCGGAUUUAUUGGGCGUAAAGAGCUCGUAGGCGGUUCGGCAAGUCGGGUGUGAAAUUUCGAGGCUCAACCUCGAAACGCCACUCGAUACUGCUGUGACUGGAGUCCGGUAGAGGAGUGCGGAAUUCCUGGUGUAGCGGUGAAAUGCGCAGAUAUCAGGAGGAACACCAACGGCGAAGGCAGGUCUCUGGGCCGAUACUGACGCUGGAGGAGCGAAAGCGUGGGGAGCGAACAGG